UACGGAGGGUGCAAGCGUUAUCCGGAUUCACUGGGUUUAAAGGGUGCGUAGGUGGGCUGGUAAGUCAGUGGUGAAAUCUCCAGGCUUAACUUGGAAACUGCCAUUGAUACUAUCAGUCUUGAAUACCGUGGAGGUCAGCGGAAUAUGUCAUGUAGCGGUGAAAUGCUUAGAUAUGACAUAGAACACCAAUUGCGAAGGCAGCUGGCUACACGAAUAUUGACACUGAUGCACGAAAGCGUGGGGAGCAAACAGGG
rnacentral:rRNA from 1 species